GUGGGCUGGUUUUUGGUAAGCAGAACGGGCGAUUCGGGAUGAACCGGAAGCGGGGAGAAAGGGCCCGAGAUUGCGUCGACGCGGAUCCCGAAAAGGGCGUCGAUCCGUCGCGACAGCGGGACGGUGGUCAUGGAAGUCGAAAAUCCGCUAAGAAGCGUGUAAAAAACGUACCCGCCCAACGGAUCGGCCCCGAAAAUUGAUGGCGCUCGAACGCAACCCUCGAACCCCGCCCGACGGAGGCUAGGGGAGGCCCCGUCGAGUAGGCGGACGCGCGGGUCGGCUUCGACGCUCCCGCGCGAGCGGGGGCGGGAGCGGCCCGUGGUGCAGAUCUUGGUGGUAGUAGCGAUCACCCAGGCGAGAACCCCUGAGGGCCGAAGUGGAGAAGGGGUUUCUCGAGAACGGCACUCGCUCGAGAGUUAGUCGAUCCUAAGCUGCCGGCGGCAGCCACGAAACGGUCGAUCGGGCGCGGA
rnacentral:rRNA from 1 species